GCCUUUUGAAGAUUUUAUUUCUGGUGUUCUGCACAGUGUCACCAGGUUUCCACGGCAAUAUAGCUGUAACAUUCCUUCUGAGAGAGCUUCCAUCAGGCACACUGGAUCGGAUUUAUGUCAUGGACCCCCACAAGACUGGAAGACAAUUUAAACUUCAAGCAGUAUUGACUUACCUAUCAAUCACUAAGUAUAUAUGACAUUCUCAGAGAAGAAAUCAUAAACAUUGAGAGUUGCCAUACAUAAUGAUGACCUUCAACACAUAUGAAAUGACCCACAUCCUUUCUUGUGCAUCACAUAGAGAAAUCACCAAGGAUUGGAAGUUGGCUGAUAAAACUGGCAUCAGAAAGACCAUUCAAAACGAAGAACCAGUGUCAAGAUCCUGGAUACCCUUCUUGCCAUUACUCCCAAAGUAGCCUUUACAUGGAUCCAGUUCGAUUGGAACUGGGGAGGAAUUUAAAAGAAUCACAGUAAGCCGUCUGGUCUUUUCCAGGAGGAUAAUCAACAACAUUGACUGAUUAUGUUUGUAUGGGUAAGUAUGUCUGUUUAUAGAUAAUGUUAGUUCUCCUCCAAUGAACGUCUUCUAUGUAAAUAGACAUGAAAUUCAUACUGUUCAAAGCUGUCUGUUGGUUUAGACUAUUCUAAAUUACACUGUAUAUAUGAUACUGAAACAUGCUGAUCCCUUUGCAGACCUGUCACAUAUUAGAUGGGUUUCCAAAGAAGCUGUCCAGGGAGCUGGGCUCCAGAAAAAU
rnacentral:lncRNA from 10 species